rnacentral:misc_RNA from 1 species
GUUUUUAACUCGUCCCACUUGCUCUGUUUGGUAAUAAUAUAGACAGAUUUCCAGUAAUAAUAUAAGAUAACAAACAUUUCACUUGCUAUUGGCAAUUAAACAAAGGUGAUCCCAUCUGCAACAUUACCAGAAUGACAGUUUCAACUGGAAAACGCAUGAGAUUAUAAUAGUUUCUCUUUACGACACUGAACCAAAAACUUGAGUUUUUUUAAAUAGAAAUUCGCA